rnacentral:rRNA from 1 species
GACGAACGCUGGCGGCGUGCUUAACACAUGCAAGUCGAACGGAAAGGCCCUGCUGUUGUGGGGUGCUCGAGUGGCGAACGGGUGAGUAACACGUGAGUAACCUGCCCUUUACUUUGGGAUAACUUCAGGUAACUGGGGCUAAUACCGCAUAGGAGCUCCUGCUGCAUGGUGGGGGGUGGAAAGUUUCGGCGGUUGGGGAUGGACUCGCGGCUGAUCAGCUUGUUGGUGGGGUAGUGGCUUACCAAGGCGUUGACGGGUAGCCGGCCUGUGAGGGUGACCGGCCACAUUGGGACUGAGAUACGGCCCAGACUCCUACGGGAGGCAGCAGUGGGGAAUAUUGCACAAUGGGCGGAAGCCUGAUGCAGCAACGCCGCGUGCGGGAUGACGGCCUUCGGGUUGUAAACCGCUUUCGCCUGUGACGAAGCGUGAGUGACGGUAAUGGGUAAAGAAGCACCGGCUAACUACGUG